AUGGGCAGCGUCGCCGCCGCCGUGCAGGAGGACUCCCCGUCGUCGAAGUCGCCGGAGCUGGAGGCGGCGUUCCUGGAGCGGUGCGCUGCGUCGGGUGACGCGGCGUACGGCGAGCUCAGGGAGCUGCUGUCCCGCCUCCACGACCCGGCCACGAGGCAGGAGGCCAGGGUCUUCCUCACAGGCCUCCGCCGCCGCUCCUGCUCCGACCCCGGCGGCGAGGAAGGAUUCUUCCGGCGGUACGGGUUCUGCGUCCGGGAGCUGCUCCUCCACGACUCACGCUGCGGCCUCCCCAUCACCACCCUCUCCUCAGGAUUCCAACAAAGAAAGAAGCUAACAAUGAUGGAGAUACCCAGCAUUUUCAUUCCAGAAGAUUGGUCAUUCACUUUCUACGAGGGUCUCAACCGUCAUCCGGAUUCCAUCUUCAGGGAUAAGACAGUAGCAGAGCUGGGAUGUGGCAAUGGUUGGAUAUCCAUUGCACUUGCAGAGAAGUGGUGCCCUUCGAAGGUCUAUGGUCUGGAUAUAAACCCAAGAGCUAUCAAGAUUGCAUGGAUAAACCUUUACUUGAAUGCACUAGACGAUGAUGGUCUCCCAAUCUAUGAUGCGGAGGGGAAAACAUUGCUUGACAGAGUCGAAUUCUACGAAUCUGAUCUUCUUUCUUACUGUAGAGAUAACAAGAUAGAACUCGAUCGCAUUGUUGGAUGCAUACCACAGAUUCUUAACCCCAAUCCAGAGGCGAUGUCAAAGAUUGUAACUGAAAAUUCAAGUGAGGAGUUCUUGUACUCAUUGAGCAACUACUGUGCUCUUCAGGGCUUUGUUGAGGACCAAUUUGGCCUCGGGUUGAUUGCUCGUGCUGUUGAAGAAGGGAUAUCUGUGAUAAAGCCUAGUGGUCUUAUGGUAUUCAACAUGGGAGGCCGGCCAGGACAAGGUGUCUGUGAGCGCCUAUUUCUACGCCGUGGAUUUCGCAUCAAUAAGCUCUGGCAAACAAAAAUUAUGCAGGCUGCUGACACAGACAUCUCAGCUUUAGUUGAAAUUGAGAAAAAUAGCCGACAUCGCUUUGAGUUCUUUAUGGAUCUUGUUGGGGAUCAGCCUGUGUGUGCACGCACAGCAUGGGCAUACAUGAAAUCUGGUGGCCGCAUUUCACAUGCUUUGUCUGUGUAUAGCUGCCAACUUCGCCAGCCCAACCAGGUGAAGAAAAUAUUUGAGUUCCUUAAAGACGGAUUCCAUGAAGUCAGCAGUUCCCUCGAUUUGUCCUUCGAUGACGACUCUGUUGCUGAUGAAAAGAUUCCUUUCCUAGCAUACCUAGCUAGUUUCUUGCAAGAGAACACGUCUAAUCCUUGUGAGCCUCCAGCUGGAUGUUUAAACUUCCGGAAUCUUGUUGCCGGAUUUAUGAAGAGUUACCACCACAUCCCAUUAACUCCUGACAAUGUUGUUGUGUUCCCAUCCCGUGCUGUUGCAAUAGAAAAUGCUCUUCGAUUGUUCUCACCGGGACUUGCAAUUGUUGAUGAACACCUAACCAGACACUUGCCCAAGCAAUGGUUAACAUCUUUAGCAAUUGAGGAAAGUAACCAUGCUAAAGACACAGUAACUGUAAUCGAAGCACCACGCCAAUCAGAUUUGCUGAUUGAGUUGAUCAGAAAACUGAAGCCUCAGGUUGUUGUUACUGGCAUGGCUCAGUUUGAGGCUAUCACCAGUGCUGCUUUCGUGAACUUAUUAAGCGUAACGAAAGAUGUUGGUUCCCGAUUAUUACUAGAUAUUUCAGAACAUCUGGAGUUGUCUAGUCUGCCAAGCUCAAAUGGUGUACUGAAAUAUCUUGCUGGGAAGACCCUGCCUUCACAUGCGGCUAUAUUGUGUGGCUUAGUAAAGAAUCAGGUUUAUUCUGAUCUGGAAGUUGCUUUUGCUAUCUCUGAAGAUCCAACUGUUUAUAAGGCAUUGUCACAGACUAUUGAGCUAUUGGAAGGCCAUACUUCUGUCAUCAGCCAGCACUAUUAUGGUUGCCUUUUCCAUGAGCUGCUGGCGUUUCAAAUUGGCGACCGGCAUCCACAACAGGAGAGAGAACCUGCAGAAGUGAUCUCUAAGGAGAUGAUAGGGUUUUCAAAUUCAGCUAUGUCCACAUUAGAAGGAGCUGAGUUUUUCGUUCCUGGUUCCAAGGAAUCCGGUGUCAUACAUAUGGAUCUGGACCGCAGCUUCUUACCAGUACCUUCUGCAGUAAACGCCUCCAUUUUUGAAAGUUUUGUUCGUCAGAACAUCACUGAUUCUGAAACCGAUGUCCGUUCCAGCAUUCAGCAGCUGGUGAAAGAUAGCUAUGGCUUCUCAGCAGAUAGCUGUUCGGAAAUUAUAUACGGGAACACCUGUCUCGCGCUCUUCAACAAGCUUGUUCUUUGCUGCAUGCAAGAGCAGGGCACCUUGCUUUUCCCCUUGGGCACCAACGGGCAUUACGUCAACGCAGCAAAGUUUGUGAACGCAACCACCUUGACUAUUCCAACAAAGGCAGAUUCAGGCUUCAAGAUUGAACCAAGUGUUCUAGCCGACGCACUAGAGAAAGUGUCUCAGCCGUGGGUCUAUAUUUCUGGCCCCACAAUCAACCCUACUGGCUUUCUGUACAGCGACGACGAUAUAGCAGAGCUGCUUUCUGUCUGUGCGAAGUACGGAGCUAGGGUGGUGAUAGACACCUCCUCCUCUGGUCUGGAGUUCCAAGCCGCCGGCUGUAGCCAAUGGAAUUUGGAAAAAUGUCUUUCUAAUGUGAAGUCUUCAAAGCCCUCAUUCUCUGUUGUCCUGCUCGGGGAGCUCUCCUUUGAGCUGACCACGGCUGGGCUUGACUUCGGGUUUCUGAUUAUGAGCGACUCGUCCUUGGUUGACACAUUUUACAGUUUCCCAAGCUUGAGUCGGCCACACAGCACGUUGAAGUACACUUUCAGGAAACUGCUGGGUCUUAAGAACCAGAAGGAUCAGCAUUUCUCUGACCUCAUCGUUGAGCAGAAGGAGACGCUGAAGAAUCGUGCCAACCAGUUGAUCAAGACACUUGAGAGCUGUGGCUGGGACGCCGCGGGCUGCCAUGGAGGCAUCUCGAUGCUGGCAAAGCCAACCGCCUACAUUGGCAAAUCGCUCAAGGUGGAUGGCUUCGAGGGCAAGCUCGACAGCCACAACAUCAGGGAAGCCCUCCUCAAGUCCACCGGGCUGUGCAUAAGCAGCAGCGCGUGGACUGGGGUUCCAGACUACUGCCGGUUCAGCUUUGCUCUGGAUAGCGGCGAGUUCGACCGGGCGAUGGAGUGCAUCACCCGGUUCAAGGAGCUGGUCCUCGGUGGCAGUGCUAAGGUGAAUGGUAGCAACUAG
rnacentral:rRNA from 1 species